GACGAACGCUGGCGGCGUGCUUAACACAUGCAAGUCGAACGGAAAGGCCCUGCUUUUGUGGGGUGCUCGCGUGGCGAACGGGUGAGUAACACGUGAGUAACCUGCCCUUGACUUUGGGAUAACUUCAGGAAACUGGGGCUAAUACCGGCUAGGAGCUCCUGCUGCAUGGUGGGGGUUGGAACGUUUCGGCGGUUGGGGAUGGACUCGCGGCUUAUCAGCUUGUUGGUGGGGUAGUGGCUUACCAAGGCUUUGACGGGUAGCCGGCCUGAGAGGGUGACCGGCCACAUUGGGACUGAGAUACGGCCCAGACUCCUACGGGAGGCAGCAGUGGGGAAUAUUGCACAAUGGGCGGAAGCCUGAUGCAGCAACGCCGCGUGCGGGAUGAAGGCCUUCGGGUUGUAAACCGCUUUCGCCUGUGACGAAGCGUGAGUGACGGUAAUGGGUAAAGAAGCACCGGCUAACUACGUG
rnacentral:rRNA from 1 species